UCAUCAGUUCCCAUAGUAAGGAUCUAUGUUUCCAAAUAUUUAUUUGAUCAGGGUCUUGAGUCCACAAGAUGGCAGUGUCUUCUCAGGGGCCCUGCUCAUGUAUUCCUUCCUGUGUGUGUGUGUGUGUGUGUGUGUGUGAGAGAGAGAGAGAGAGAGAGAGAGAGAGAGAGAGAGAGAGAGAGAGAGAGAAAGUAGGAGGAGAGAGGAGGAGCUCGGUGGUGUGUUGCACAGGUAAUGAAAAGUCUCUUUUGUCUUUGAUAGAACAGGCUCUUUUUAUGAUUUCUAAAGCAGAAGAAUUGAAAUGUCUGAGCUCAACUCUUCUUUUGUUUGUUUGUUUUUUAGGCUUAAAAUUUGAAUCCUCAGUAAACAGAGGAGGCAAGAAUGAUGAAAUCCUCAAGAGUUUUAUUAGUGAUCCUGUGGCUUCACUUAAUCUCGGUGAGCAGCCAGCAGAACACCGUGGAGCAGAGUCCUGCAUCUCUGCCUGUCCCAGAGGGAGCCGUCGCCUCUCUCGGCUGCACUUAUUCUGACAGUAAUUCUCAGUACUUCGCAUGGUACAGACAGUACCCUGGGAAAGGACCUGAGUUUCUGCUGAACGUGUAUCUCAACAAAGACAAAGAGGAAGGAAAAUUUACAGCGCACUCCAAUAAAACCAACAAGCGUGUCUCCCUGCAUAUCAGAGACUCCGAGCCCAGCGACUCAGCCACCUACCUCUGUGCAGUGAGCACACAGUGCUCCCCAGGCACCUGCCGCCUGUGCCCAAACCUGCUGGGGCCCCGGCAGCGCCUCUUGGAGAGCUUAGGCUGCAGGGCACAGACAUUCUGUCACCUCUCUAGAUGUAAAUGUGGAUUAAGAGUAACCGUGGAGAAGGUUUGAUUAGGGAAAUAUUUUAAUAAUUCUGAAACAGUUGAUUCUGAAGGGAAAUUAAACAGACAGUUUGGUCUGAAUGACUGAAAUAUUUUUCAAUCUUCUCAUUGUACUCUAGUUUUGUACCAUAACUUUACUCACUGGAAUUGGAAUUAUGAUGCUUUUAUAUAUGACAAUAUUUUAAUAUGAUAACUGAGAUACUCCCUCAUAGUUCCUGGUACAUUUUGCUCUUUCCUCAGGUAGUUAUUCAAGAUGUUUGAUAUUCAUUGCUUUAGGAAAUAAUGGGAAAACAUAAAUGCAGAAGUCUUUUUUUUUAAUGUGGACCAUUUUUAAAGCCUUUAUUGAAUUUGUUACAAUGUUGUUUCUAUUUUAUGUUUCUUGCUUUUUGGCUGUGAAGCAUGUGGGAUCUUAGUGCCCAGACCAGGGAUUGGAAGGCACACAAGUGGAAAGAGAAUUGGAAAGUCCCCCUGCAUUGGAAGGCCAAGUGUUAACCACUGGACCUCCAGGGAAGUCCCAGAAAGGAGCCUUAAGCAACUAUUUUGAAAAAGCUGUGAGUCAUGAAUUAUUUUAGUUAUAGAUCUGCCACCUCAUCUUCACCCAUCUUCAUCUGCAACUGCAAUCCCAUUGGUGGAUUAGAUAAGGAUACAUUUGAUGGGUGGAUGGAAGGAUUAACAUCAGAAGGUGAGAACUGGUUGAAACAAAAAGCCUAGACAGUUGCAGGAACUCAGAUCAGAGGUUCAUGUCACCAUUUUUGAGUGAAGGCUGAGUAGAACUCAAAGUUCCAGGUGUGAGCCUUGUGGGAGAGUGCACUGAUUCCUAUGUGCGUGAGUGAGGCUGGGGAUGGUAGAGAGAAUUAGCUACAGCCAUAGGAUAUCCCACACCCACAGCACGGUGUAGGGGUACAGGUUUCCUGAGAAGGAUCUCUGAGUAACCAAUGUUAUGGUGAUUAAAGACCUACAUGGAUCAGUUAUCAAAGACCAUAUGGUAUUGAGGAUGUUUUAGAAAAUGUUGGUGAGAGAGCUGGGAAUACCAACAGGGAUAUGAAUAUCCGCCCUCUCCUGACUCACUGUCACUGUGGAAUUGUCCUAUAACUUAUGCCAAAGUCUGGGAAAAAUGUUUGUGAUCUGAUGGAAAUCAAUUGAUGCUUUCGAACUGUGGUGUUGAAGACUCUUGAAAGUCCCUUGGACUGCAAGGAGAUUAAACCGUCAGUCCUAAAGGAAAUUAACCCUGGUCACCUGAUGCAAAGAGCUGACUCAUUGGAAGACCCUGAUGCUGGGAAAGAUUGAAGGCAGGGAGAAAGGGAUGGCAGUAGAAGAGACGGUUGGAUGACUCAAUAGACAUGAGUUUGUGCAAGACUUAGGAGAUGGUGAGGGACAGGGAAGCCUGGCAUGCUACUGUCCAUGGGGUCGCAAAGAGUCAGAUAUGACUGAGUGACCGAACAACAACAAAUAAAUCCAGGGAAAAAAAUUAGACGUCA
rnacentral:lncRNA from 1 species